rnacentral:rRNA from 1 species
AUUGAACGCUGGCGGCAGGCCUAACACAUGCCAGUCGAACGGUAACAGGAAACAGCUUGCUGUUUCGCUGACGAGUGGCGGACGGGUGAGUAAUGUCUGGGAAACUGCCUGAUGGAGGGGGAUAACUACUGGAAACGGUAGCUAAUACCGCAUAACGUCGCAAGACCAAAGAGGGGGACCUUCGGGCCUCUUGCCAUCGGAUGUGCCCAGAUGGGAUUAGCUAGUAGGUGGGGUAACGGCCCACCUAGGCGACGAUCCCUAGCUGGUCUGAGAGGAUGACCAGCCACACUGGAACUGAGACACGGUCCAGACUCCUACGGGAGGCAGCAGUGGGGAAUAUUGCACAAUGGGCGCAAGCCUGAUGCAGCCAUGCCGCGUGUAUGAAGAAGGCCUUCGGGUUGUAAAGUACUUUCAGCGGGGAGGAAGGGAGUAAAGUUAAUACCUUUACUCAUUGACGUUACCCGCAGAAGAAGCACCGGCUAACUCCGUG